CUUUUGUUGAGCCAUUUGAGAGACAACUUUGUGUUGUUCAUAGAGCUUAUAUUGUAUCUCUUUAUCUACUCUUCUUAGAGAGUUCUUGUUGUAAAAGAGAAAGGUUCGCUAAGGACCUUCAAUCUUAGUGUGUGAAAUCUUGUGGUGCGGUAUCCACGAGCAUUAUGAAGUCUUGAGGUGAGGUAUCCUCGAGCAAGUUGAAGUCUUGUAG
rnacentral:lncRNA from 1 species